CACACACACACACGCACGCACAUAUGGACAUAUAUACAUGUACCAUACUCCUCCAACAUCUACACACACACCCUUCCACACGAAUAAAUAUAUUUGCAAUAUCUGGCCUGUUACAAAGCAAGCAUUUUCACUGUGUCUAUGGUCUUAAAUCCUCUGGGUUGGUUGAGCAAAUGAAUGGCACCAGAAGUGUGGGAGUCCUCAGUCUUUGCUUCCUGUCUGCCAUGUCCAAGUCACCAAUCUCCUACUGGUGAACAUUCUGCCAAGCCGGGAGACAGCAUUCCUGGGGAAGCUGCAGAACAAUGAAUCACCAGAAAUAAAACCAACAAAAGAAGAUAGUGAGAGCUGGGUCAUGGGUGCCCCUCAAGUGCAUGGCUCUUGUCUGCUGCCAUCCCCAAAGGCAGCUUACUGAGAAUGGAAACAAGUAUUAGAGGCAAAACCUAUGGAGGCUCUCCCCUGAUGAGACUAGUCAACCAGAAUCCUGAGCCAAGGUCACAGUGUCCAUAAUGUACCACACUAGCAAAAAUGGCCAAGAGAGAAGUAUCUUACUCCUUAACAGUCAGCAGCAGCAUGAACCAUGGACUUCCACAUGGUUUCUGGUGACAGCACAGACCACGGACCUCAACAUGGUCUCCAGAGGCAGUACAAACCAUGGACAUUAACACAGAGCUUGGUUGAAGCAUGAACCGUGGAUACCAUCAUGGCCCUCAAUAGCAACACAGGCCAUGGACAUCAACAUGGCCUCUGGCAGCAACAUAGGCAUUUCAUUAUACCAACUAACAAUCAUCCUGCCCCAGAAGGGCCUUCCUACAGCUCCCUGGCUUCCAGACAGAAAAUGGAACUUGGCAUCGUGGAGUAGGAGAAAGGAUCGUGUGGAGCUAUGAAGAGAUCCUGGGCUACAUACAACUCCCAGGGAGGAGUGACUCUGGGGUCCACCCAGGGGCAUGGGAGCAUCAAGGGAAGGAAGGAACAGGCCUCCAUGCCUUCAUGUCUCUGUGCUAUGUGCCACCUCUGGGAAAGUGACCAGCAACCCACACGAUCUUGCUCUUAAAUGCUUAGGGCACAGAUGGACCUUACAAUGAUUUUGCUGACCGAGAGAGAACACAUUGCAAGGCCCAUUGCUUCUGAGGGAGCUUUAUUUUUUGAAUCUUGUAUUCUUCUGAAAAGCCCACAGCAUUUCUUUGAGCUUUCUUGGGUGAUUCAAAAUAUUUUGGCAUCCACU
rnacentral:lncRNA from 1 species